GACACCCUAUCACAGGUGUGAACUUAAUUAUUCCACCUUGCAACUUUAAAUCUGAAAGCACCUUCAAAACAAGGGCAGCUUCACAGGCAAAUUCUAGGCAUUUGUUUUUUGACUGGAACACCCAGUUGAAAAGGGACAUUGGCGGGUCUGGUCAGCAUUGCUGACCGGGCCAUUAAAAGUCUGGUCAGCAGCACAGCGGGGCUAAGGCAGGCUCCCUGACUCCGUGUGGGUCCCAGAAGCGGCCCCUAGGCACAGGGGUGGCCAGGAUAGCUCCACACACUGACCCCAUCCAGAGCACUGGCUCUGCAGCUCCCAUUGACCAGGAACCACGGCCAAUGGGAGUUGUGGGGGCGGUGUCUGUAGGCGCAGGCAGUCCGCAGAGCCCUUUGGCCCCUCCACCUAGGAGCCGGACACGGCAGCUGCUUCCGGGAGCCACUUGAGAUAUGGGGCCUUCUCAGUGGAGUUUAAUGGAUGUAACAGAGGCUGAAGUUUGGCACACACUAGAUACAAAUAAAAAAGAUACACUCAGGACAGCCAUUGCUGUCCCACCUGAAUUACUCAACAACAAAACUAGGGCCCUGUUGUCUGCUGGUGUAAAGGGGCACAGCAUCAUCUUUAGGUUACCAGCAGAGAAUCUGGCCCAUACUUUCAAAAGCCAGUAACCAGAUGGCCAUGGAGCAACUCUGAUGAUGACAGAUUGUAAACGCCCAGGGGGGCAGCUCUCCUCCUUCUGGGUUUGCACAAGGCCUGGCACAAUGGAGUCCUGGUCCAUGUUGGUGUUACUACAGUGCAAAUCAGAAACAUGCUUGGUGCGGGCAGCUCCCCCCGUUUCAUGCCUCUGCUCUGUGUGUGCCAAGGGGCACGUGGGCUUAUCUUUUAAAAUCCCAAACUACGCCUAGAAGCCGGCAACCCCGGAGGGGCCGGUGGCUGGGUCAGGGCCCUAACAGGCGGCUGCUCCCCUUCUGCCACGCAUCGGGCUAAGGCCAGAGCCGCCCCCUCUCCGCGGGGCCCGCCAGCGCCCCCCGGGCUCUGCUCCCUGGGCCCCCGCGGCGGGCGCUGGUGACGAGCACGCUCAGCCGCUCCGCCUGACGGGGCCAUGCUAGGGAGGGCGGGCGCAGAGGCGGGUCCGA